rnacentral:rRNA from 1 species
UACAGAGGGUGCAAGCGUUAAUCGGAAUUACUGGGCGUAAAGCGUGCGUAGACGGUUAUGUAAGUCAGGUGUGAAAGCCCCGGGCUCAACCUGGGAAUUGCAUUUGAGACUGCAUAGCUAGGGUGCGGAAGAGGGAAGCGGAAUUUCCGGUGUAGCGGUGAAAUGCGUAGAUAUCGGAAGGAACAUCAGUGGCGAAAGCGGCUUCCUGGACCAGCACCGACGUUCAGGCACGAAAGCGUGGGGAGCAAACAGG